AAGUCAGGGCCGGAGACCAGAUGGGAAAGGCUCUGUGGACAGCUGUGGCUGAGGGUCUGGGAGGGGACCCAAGCCCGCAGGCAGACUAGAAGUGGGUGCCGUGUGGGGACCCCAGUUAGUGCCCUGGGGCACCUGGGGACUGGGCAGGGAGAGGGGACAGCAGAAUGAUAACCAGCCUGGCGGCAAGGAGGGGAGCCCUCACCCCAUGGGCAGGCAAAUAGCUGACUGCUGACCACCCA
rnacentral:lncRNA from 13 species